rnacentral:ncRNA from 1 species
CCAGGUCCCGACGCACAUCCCCCCCGGCGCCGGGACCUUCCCAGCCGGGCCUCGGCACCUAUCCCCCCCCCGGGUGCCGGGGCCCGGCUUCAUC